UACGUAGGGUGCGAGCGUUGUCCGGAAUUAUUGGGCGUAAAGAGCUCGUAGGCGGCUUGUCGCGUCGGCUGUGAAAACUCGGGGCUCAACCCCGAGCCUGCAGUCGAUACGGGCAGGCUGGAGUCCGGCAGGGGAGACUGGAAUUCCUGGUGUAGCGGUGAAAUGCGCAGAUAUCAGGAAGAACACCGGUGGCGAAGGCGCUCUGCUAGGCCGUAACUGACACUGAGGGACGAAAGCGUGGGUAGCAAACAGG
rnacentral:rRNA from 1 species